rnacentral:rRNA from 1 species
CCCUUAGAUGUUCUGGGCCGCACACGCGCUACACUGAAGGAGGCAGCGUGUACUCCUGGAUCGAAAGAUUUGGGUAACCCGCGAAUCUCCUUCGUGCUAGGGAUUGAGGUUUGCAAUUAUCCUUCAUGAACGAGGAAUUCCCAGUAAGUGCAAGUCAUAAGCUUGCGCUGACUACGUACCUGCCCUUUGUACACACCGCCCGUCGCUACUACCGAUUGAAUGAUUUAGUGAGGACUUCGGACUGGGACCGAUGCGGCUUUCGGGCUGCGUCGGUAUUCUGGAAAGAUGUCCAAACUGUAUCAUUUAGAGGAAGUAAAANUCGUAACA